rnacentral:rRNA from 1 species
UACGUACGAGGCAAGCGUUAUCCGGAAUUACUGGGCGUAAAGGGCGCGCAGGCGGCUCUGAAAGUCAGAUGUGAAAGCCCCGGGCUUAACCUGGGAAUUGCAUUUGAUACUCUGGAGCUUGAGUACGGGAGAGGAGAGUGGAAUUCCCAGUGUAGAGGUGAAAUUCGUAGAUAUUCGCAAGAACACCAGUGGCGAAGGCGGCUCACUGGCCCGAUACUGACGCUGAGGCACGAAAGCGUGGGGAGCAAACAGG